rnacentral:rRNA from 1 species
GACGAACGCUGGCGGCGUGCCUAAUACAUGCAAGUUGAGCGCUGAAGGUUGGUACUUGUACCAACUGGAUGAGCAGCGCACGGGUGAGUAACGCGUGGGGAAUCUGCCUUUGAGCGGGGGACAACAUUUGGAAACGAAUGCUAAUACCGCAUAAAAACUUUAAACACAAGUUUUAAGUUUGAAAGAUGCAAUUGCAUCACUCAAAGAUGAUCCCGCGUUGUAUUAGCUAGUUGGUGAGGUAAAGGCUCACCAAGGCGAUGAUCCAUAGCCGACCUGAGAGGGUGAUCGGCCACAUUGGGACUGAGACACGGCCCAAACUCCUACGGGAGGCAGCAGUAGGGAAUCUUCGGCAAUGGACGAAAGUCUGACCGAGCAACGCCGCGUGAGUGAAGAAGGUUUUCGGAUCGUAAAACUCUGUUGGUAGAGAAGAACGUUGGUGAGAGUGGAAAGCUCAUCAAGUGACGGUAACUACCCAGAAAGGGACGGCUAACUACGUG